rnacentral:tmRNA from 1 species
GGGGCAGACCUGGAUUUGACAGCAUGAAGAAUAGGUAUGUAAGCAUGUCGGGAGCAGUGAAACGGCCCGUAAAUCCCGGACACAAAAUUUUAGUUGGCGAAAAUAAUUACGCUCUCGCUGCCUAAUCUUUAGAAGAUUGAAGGCUUAAUCCCUGUUCAAGGAACGGGGACGGGACAUCCCGCCGGUGGUUCCACCUUAUUCCGGUCGGCAUACGGGGUGCAGUCAAUUUAAGGUUAGUCUUAGCCCACCUUUGGCGAAAGGCGAAAAUUUAAGAGGAUAAGCGAUGGCUUGGGUGUCACUUUCCGGACCAUCGUCGAAAACCAAUAAGCGACUAAGCAUGUAGAAAGCAUAUGGAUUCCGUNNNNNNNNNNCAUGUAGAAAGCAUAUGGAUUCCGUGUUUGGACCAGGGUUCGAUUCCCUGCUGCUCCACCG